CCBGGUUGAUCCUGCCAGAGGUUACUGCUAUCGAGAUUCGACUAAGCCAUGCGAGUCGAAUGUUCUUCGUGAACAUGGCGGACUGCUCAGUAACACGUGGACAACCUACCCUUGGGUCUGGCAUAAUCCUGGGAAACUGGGUAUAAUUCCAGAUAGGUCACAGAUGCUGGAAUGCACUGUGGCCGAAAGCYCCGGCGCCCAAGGAUGGGUCUGCGGCCUAUCAGGGUUGUAGUGGGUGUAACGGACCUACUAGCCUACGACGGGUACGGGUUGUGAGAGCAAGAGCCCGGAGAUGGAUUCUGAGACACGAAUCCAGGCCCUACGGGGUGCAGCAGGCGCGAAAACUUUACAAUGCGGGAAACCGUGAUAAGGGAAUCUCGAGUGCCAGCAUAUAAUGUUGGCUGUCCAGAUGCCUAAAAAGCAUCUGUUAGCAAGGGCCGGGCAAGACCGGUGCCAGCCGCCGCGGUAACACCGGCGGCCCGAGUGGUAACCGCUUUUAUUGGGUCUAAAGGGUCUGUAGCCGGCCAAGUAAGUCCCUUGGGAAAUCUGGCAGCUUAACUGUCAGGCUGCUAGGGGAUACUGCUAGGCUUGGGACCGGGAGAGGUGAGAGGUACCUUGGGGGUAGGGGUGAAAUCUUGUGAUCCUCGGGGGACCACCAGUGGCGAAGGCGUCUCACCAGAACGGGUCCGACGGUAAGGGACGAAAGCUAGGGGCACGAACCGGAUUAGAUACCCGGGUAGUCCUAGCCGUAAACGAUGCUCGCUAGGUGUCAGUCACGGUGCGACCGUGAUUGGUGCCGUAGGGAAGCCGUGAAGCGAGCCACCUGGGAAGUAUGGCCGCAAGGCUGAAACUUAAAGGAAUUGGCGGGGGAGCACUACAACGGGUGGAGCCUGCGGUUUAAUUGGAUUCAACGCCGGG
rnacentral:rRNA from 1 species